rnacentral:ncRNA from 1 species
AUCGCACGGUCUAGCACCGGCGACGGAUCAUUCAAGUGUCUGCCCUAUCAACUUUCGUCGGUACGGUAUUUGCCUACCGAGGUUCUUACGGGUGACGGGGAAUCAGGGUUCGAUUCCGGAGAGGGAGCCUGAGAAACGGCUACCACAUCCAAGGAAGGCAGCAGGCGCGCAAAUUACCCAUUCCCGACGCGGGGAGGUAGUGACGAAAAAUAACAAUGCAGGACUCGUUCGAGGCCCUGUAAUUGGAAUGAGUACACUUUAAAAGCUUUAACGAGUAUCCAUUGGAGGGCAAGUCUGGUGCCAGCAGCCGCGGUAAUUCCAGCUCCAAAAGUAUAUAUUUAAGUUGUUGCGGUUAAAAAGCUCGUAGUUGGAUUUUGGGCGCAGGCGGCCGGUCCGUCGCAAGGCGUGUACUGGACGUCCUGGCCUUCCCUCCGGUUCUCCGCCGGUGCUCUUGACUGAGUGUCGGCGGCGGCCGGAACGUUUACUUUGAAAAAAUUAGAGUGUUCAAAGCAGGCUCUCGAGCCUGGAUAAUGGUGCAUGGAAUAAUGGAAUAGGACCUCGGUUCUAUUUUGUUGGUUUUCGGAGCGCGAGGUAAUGAUUAAGAGGGACAGACGGGGGCAUUCGUACUGUGCCGUUAGAGGUGAAAUUCUUGGAUCGGCGCAAGACGAACGACUGCGAAAGCAUUUGCCAAGAAUGUUUUCUUUAAUCAAGAGCGAAAGUCAGAGGUUCGAAGACGAUCAGAUACCGUCCUAGUUCUGACUAUAAACGAUGCCACUAA